ACGCCUUAUACAUGCAAGUCGAACGAAGUAGCAAUACUUAGUGGCGGACGGGUGAGUAUGAUGUGGGUAUCUGCCCAUUGGUUUGGAAUAACACGGGGAAACUUGUGCUAAUACUGAAUAAGCCUUCACAGGGAAAGCUUUAUGCGCCGAUGGAUGAGCCCGCACUUGAUUAGCUUGUUGGUGAGGUAAAAGCUCACCAAGGCUACGAUCAAUAGCUGAUCUGAGAGGAUGAUCAGCCACAUUGGGACUGAGACACGGCCCAAACUCCUACGGGAGGCAGCAGUAGGGAAUAUUGCACAAUGGAGGAAACUCUGAUGCAGCGAUGCCGCGUGAGUGAAGAAGGCCUUUGGGUUGUAAAGCUCUUUCGUCGGGGAAGAAAAUGACUGUACCCGAAUAAGAAGGUCCGGCUAACUUCGUGCCAGCAGCCGCGGUAAUACGAAGGGACCUAGCGUAGUUCGGAAUUACUGGGCUUAAAGAGCACGUAGGUGGUUAGAAAAGUUAGUGGUGAAAUCCCAAGGCUUAACCUUGGAACUGCCACUAAAACUUUUUAACUAGAGUAUGAUAGAGGUAAGCGGAAUUUCUAGUGUAGAGGUGAAAUUCGUAGAUAUUAGAAAGAACACCAAUUGCGAAGGCAGCUUUCUGGAUCAUUACUGACACUGAGGUGCGAAAGCAUGGGUAGCGAAGAGGAUUAGAUACCCUCGUAGUCCAUGCUGUAAACGAUGUGUGCUAGACGUUGGAAAUUUUAUUUUCAGUGUCGCAGCAAAAGCGUUAAGCACACCGCCUGGGGAG
rnacentral:rRNA from 1 species